rnacentral:rRNA from 1 species
GAUGAACGCUGGCGGCGUGCCUAAUACAUGCAAGUCGAGCGAACAGACGAGGAGCUUGCUCCUCUGACGUUAGCGGGGGAAGGGUGAGUAACAUGAGGAUACCCUACCUUUAGGACUGGGAUAACUUCGGGAAACCGAUGCUAAAACUGUACAAUUUCUUGAACGGGGGGGUUCAAAAGUGACAGCCGGUUUUGAUGGACCUUCUAGCUGGCACCGCGCGGGUUGAGUAAGUUGGUAAGGUAACGGCUUCCCAAGGCAACGGUGCGUAGCCGACCUGAGAGGGUGAUCGGCCACACUGGAGGUGAGACGCGGUACAGACUCCGACGGGAGGCAGCAGUAGGGAAUCGUCCGCAAUGGGCGAAAGCUUGCCGGAGCAACGCCGGGUGAGUGAUGAAGGUCUUCGGAUCGGAAAACGCUGUUAUUAGUGAAGAACAAAUGUGUAAGUAACUAUGCUCGUCUUGACGGUACCUAAUCAGAAAGCCACGGCUAACUACGUG